AGGACGAACGCUGGCGGCGUGCUUAACACAUGCAAGUCGAGCGGAAAGGCCCUUCGGGGUACUCGAGCGGCGAACGGGUGAGUAACACGUGAGCAACCUGCCCUUAGCUCUGGGAUAGCUCCGGGAAAACCGGAAUUAAUACCGGAUAUUACACCGGCUGGCAUCGGCUGGUGUGGAAAGAUUUAUCGGCUAAGGAUGGACUCGCGGCCUAUCAGCUUGUUGGUGGGGUAGAAGCCUACCAAGGCGACGACGGGUA
rnacentral:rRNA from 1 species